CCUACGGGAGGCAGCAGUGGGGAAUAUUGCGCAAUGGGCUAACGCCUGACGCAGCGACGCCGCGUGAGGGAUGAAUGUCUUCGGAUCGGAAACCUCUGUCAGCAGGGAAGAACGGUCACUGUGCUAAUCAGCAGUGAAUUGACGCUACCUGCAAAGGAAGCACCAGCUAACUCCGUGCCAGCAGCCGCGGGAAUACGGAGGGUGCGAGCGUUAAUCGGAAUUAAUGGGCGUAAAGCGUUCGUAGGCGGUAUGUCAAGUCAAGGGUGAAAUCCCCGCGCUCAACGUGGGAACUGCCUUUGAAACUGGCAAACUGGAGUGUGUGAGAGGAUAGUGGAAUGCCAGGUGUAGGAGUGAAAUCCGUAGAUAUCUGGAGGAACAUCAGUGGCGAAGGCGACUAUCUGGCACAUAACUGACGCUGAGGAGCGAAAGCGUGGGUAGCAAACAGGAUUAGAUACCCGAGUAGUC
rnacentral:rRNA from 1 species